ACUCUCCAAAUUCCGUCCCCAUCCGAUCUCAACAUUGGUCUGAGUGGCAGUAAAAGGAGGAAAAGUAAAAGGGAAACAGAUUUGGAUGCUUUUGUGACAUACAAGUCGGUUUCACACAGCA